CCCGCACUGUUCCCGCCCACGUCAUCGCCGUUGGCGCACAACACCUUCGUGGUAAAACUCGCCUGCUCUGCGCCAACCAAUCUGCGUUGCACGCGCACACCGCACUACCACGCCUUGCUCCCGCGCCACCGGCCAGCGCGGGAGCACAGCAGCUGCCGCUACCGCAAGCGCCCACUGCGACCGGGCGCAAGCAAAACGCCCCCAGACGACAACACGGAGAGUUACCACACACCGCGCACGCACGCAAGAUUCAUUGCGUUUUCCCAGUUGGCGUCUCACUGUUACCAAGAUGAGCUUCGAAGGACUGCAAGGACUGCUGAAGAAGAAGAAACAAGAGCAGCGUCAAGGAGCUUCAGAUGGACCGGCUGCAGCGGCCGCGGCAGCUGCCAACGCCUCGGCACACACGCAAGCCCUUGCUGGAAGCGCUACAGCGGCCCACAAGAGUGCUACACCCACUAACACAGCACAUGCAGCUCCUAACGGCGGCGGUGGCAGCAGCGGCAAUGGUGGAUCCGGCAGCACCACCUAUGAUCCGUACGCAGCCGCUCUGCAGAGCGUGCAAAUCUUGCAGCAGCAGCAGCAGCAAGAGCAGCAAGGAAUGCUCAGCAGCACUACGGCAGGCCAGAAGCGCCCCCGGGAGGAUAUGGUGCAGGCAUCGAAGCUGGUCGGAGCUGUACACACCUCUAACGGCUCGUCCGCCGCUGAAGCGAGUGACGAGCUCAAUGUCAGGUCGGGUGCGUCAGCCAGCACACCACCGACUGUCUCACUCAACGCGCCUGUAGUGCCGUCGGUGAAGAGCGACGACGACGUUUUGGCGCAGCGUGAGAUGGGCGUUGCGGUGCUUCAGAUGUGCCUUACUAAGCUGGAACACUACUGGGCCGCGGAGCGAGCGUCAUGCAAGGCUCUUGCGUCUACUUGCUAUUCGGUCACAGCCACUGCUCCAGUGCCCGCUGUGCCGCAGCCGCAGCACCAGCCGUCGUCUGCCGGUGCUCUCCUUGAAUCGAGUGACUCACUGCCCGCGCUGUCGUCUCUCCUUUCUAUUCCGCGCGCACUGCGCGACUACCUCGUGGCUCAGUUUGUGGCACCAAAUCCUGGCGCCACGCGUGCGACAGGGCUGCCUGAGAUGACGGUGCUGGAUCGUGAGUUUGAGCUUCUGGCCGAACUGAAAGCGGAGAUGGAGGCAGAGCCGCCGAACGAGGCGGUGGACAGCGCGAGCACCGUCGAUACAAAAGCUCACCAGGUGCCGGAAGAGCAGCGUCAACUCGCCGAGCUCCUGUGUGCGCUGUGGUACCUCGUUGCGCUGUUCUGGCAACACAGCCUCGAUCCGCACCAGCGCAAUGGUCGGAGCUGUGCAGCGUCGACCGCCAUGCCGCGAGAGGGGCCGCUGGCACCAGCGCAGCAGGGCUGGUCACCCGCCGUCUACCUUGGCCUUCAAAACGCGCUGCCGGCUGAUGUGCGACUUCUGCAGGGCCGCGCCAUUGCCGAAGAAGUGGACCGGUGGCGAGCGCUGGCCCGCACCCGGCAGAACGCGCUGGAGCUGCUUUCCUACGUCUGCAGCGACUACGACACCUCUGCUGCGGCGUCGUCGCCAUCGACCACGGCAGCAGGCUUUAUUAUUCCAUCCGACCUUCGCAAGAAUCUGCACACCAUGGUGGUGCGCCACCUGCAGCAGGAGCGUAACUUCAUGGCGGUGCGGCAGGACUACGUGGAUAUCACAAUGGGCACAGCAAACUGGAAGCUUGGGCUAUUCUCUGGUGGCGAGGUGCACAUGCGCCGGUCGAUGGAGCGGGUGGAGCGCAACCGGAUCGCGCACCUGCUGAACAACGAACACGCGACGCAACUGCUGCAGGCGGUGCGAGAGCUGACCAUAUUUGUGGAGCACCACGCUCUUGCGAGGACUUCGCCCUUCUUUUGCCCAGCGUGCGCCACUUCCACCAUGGCCGCGUAGUGAUCAAGGCGCAGGGGGGGGCAGGAGGAAGAAGGGUCGCGGUUGCCGCGUCGACUGUGCGCCUGUGCAAGUCUGGGCCUGUGUGACAGAAAAGACACACGCGAGCAAGUGAAGUAGCGUUAGCACAGCAACAGAAGGUAAUGAGAUAGCCACCUCGAAAACCUGGCAGCCUUGAUUGCGCAGGCUACGCUUGUGCGCAUAGACACGCAUGCAGGAAUACAAGCCCGUUCUCCACGUCAACACGGUGGCGGACAACGAGGAUCUCUUCUUUUUUUUUUCUUUCGUGCAUAGCAGCUGGCGCACCAGCUCACUUUG
rnacentral:misc_RNA from 1 species